GCUACGGGAGGCAGCAGUGGGGAAUAUUGCACAAUGGGGGAAACCCUGAUGCAGCGACGCCGCGUGAGUGAAGAAGUAAUUCGUUACGUAAAGCUCUAUCAGCAGGGAAGAAAAUGACGGUACCUGAGUAAGAAGCCCCGGCUAACUACGUGCCAGCAGCCGCGGUAAUACGUCGGGGGCAAGCGUUAUCCGGAUUUACUGGGUGUAAAGGGAGAGUAGACGGUGCGCCAAGUCUGGAGUUAAAUGCCGGAGCUUAAAUGCGGAACCGCUUUUGAAACUGGCGAACUAGGGUGCGGGAGGGGUAAGCGGGAUUGCUAGGGUAGCGGUGGAAUGCGGAGAUAUUAGGAGGAACACCGGUGGCGAAGGCGGCUUACUGGAACGGAACCGACGUUGAGGCUCGAAAGCGUGGGGGGCAAACCGGAUUAGAUACCCUGGUAGUC
rnacentral:rRNA from 1 species